rnacentral:rRNA from 1 species
GAUGAACGCUGGCGGCGUGCCUAAUACAUGCAAGUCGAGCGAACAGACGAGGAGCUUGCUCCUCUGACGUUAGCGGCGGACGGGUGAGUAACACGUGGAUAACCUACCUAUAAGACUGGGAUAACUUCGGGAAACCGGAGCUAAUACCGGAUAAUAUAUUGAACCGCAUGGUUCAAUAGUGAAAGACGGUUUUGCUGUCACUUAUAGAUGGAUCCGCGCCGCAUUAGCUAGUUGGUAAGGUAACGGCUUACCAAGGCAACGAUGCGUAGCCGACCUGAAAGGGUGAGCGGCCACAAUGGCAAUGAGAAACGGCCCAGACCCCUACGGGAGGAAGAAGUAGGGAAUCCUCCGCAACGGGCGAAAGCCUGACGGAGCAACGCCGCGUGAGUGAUGAAGGUCUUCGGAUCGUAAAACUAUGUUAUUAGGGAAGAACAAAUGUGUAAGUAACUAUGCACGUCUUAACGGUACCUAAUCAGAAAGCCACGGCUAACUACGUG